CUAAUCAGUCCAUAAAAUUAUCCCUAAAGUUCUAUGCAUGUUGCCUAAGUUUCUAGUAAUGACUGUAAAUCGUCCAUACUUGGUUCUAGGAGGCAGUAAUCGCCCAAUUGGCGGUGAAAUACCGAUAAAUGAAACAGCAGAUCUUGGGUAUUAGGCAAUCCUUGCUGUGUACAUCACGACCAAAAUUAGGAGUCGGUGGUAGCUAGAACUUUCUAAACUUUGCCCUUCAGGAUGGCAAGGCGUUGACAGAGGUAGUCCCCAAUGAGGCAAACUUAUGGCGGCUCAGCUAGUGCGACAGAACUAAAAAAAGCGUCCAGGUUCAAGUAACAUACCUCUUCGGCACCGUGCUGUUGCCGAGGUACUUCAAGCAAAACAACUUCUUGAGCUUCGUCCGCCAGCUCAACACCUAUAUGUAAGUUCGACCUCAUGCUGCUUUGCUUUGGGCCAUUUAUGCCUAACAAAUUGACUGAUUUAUGCCAAUUGCUAGUAAACUACAAGGACUAGGAAUGAGUAGAGCUUGGGAUUACGCAGACUACUUGAGUAUCUGCUCACCCUAGGAUUACCUAAAAUUUUGAUAUAUCCAAUUUUGCGUCAUGUUAACUGUCCCGACGGCGGUUGUCAGCUGUAGUUUAGAAGGUGUGGCAUGGGAACAGCAACAUAUUAAUAGAUCAAGCUAGCUAUGGGGUGAUUGACAGCAGUAGUGGUUUGGGAGCUAACAGUUGGGGGUGAAAAGGAGGUCCACUACAUAUAAGUUUUGUGACAUUGAUUAGUGUUCCCUUUUCAUCUAAUUUUGCACAUGUCGAGAGAUGUAAGUCAAGUACUGAAAGGAUGGACAUUCUGUUAUAAUAACAAAGAUAAUCGUUGCAUGUAACUACUGGAGUGGCUUGACCAAUUCCAACUACACAGAACUUAUGAGAAGUACAAGGACCAGGGUUUUGAGAUCUUUGCUUUCCCAUGCAACCUACUUUGUGGGCCAGAACUUGGCAUUGAUAAGGAAAUUAUUCAGAUUGCUUGCACUCGUUUCAAUGCCGAAUAUAUGAUUUUUUUACAAGGGUUCUGUUGGUGACACUAACGGUCAUCGA